rnacentral:rRNA from 1 species
AUUGAACGCUGGCGGCAGGCCUAACACAUGCAAGUCGAAUGGUAACAGGAAACAGCUUGCUGUUUCGCUGACGAGUGGCGGACGGGUGAGUAAUGUCUGGGAAACUGCCUGAUGGAGGGGGAUAACUACUGGAAACGGUAGCUAAUACCGCAUAACGUCGCAAGACCAAAGAGGGGGACCUUCGGGCCUCUUGCCAUCAGAUGUGCCCAGAUGGGAUUAGCUAGUAGGUGGGGUAACGGCUCACCUAGGCGACGAUCCCUAGCUGGUCUGAGAGGAUGACAGGCCACACUGGAGCUGGGACACGGUCCAGACUCCUGCGGGAGGCAGCAGUGGGGAAUAUUGCACAGUGGGCGCAAGCCUGAUGCAGCCAUGCCGCGUGUAUGAAGAAGGCCUUCGGGUUGUAAAGUACUUUCAGCGGGGAGGAAGGGAGUAAAGUUAAUACCUUUGCUCAUUGACGUUACCCGCAGAAGAAGCACCGGCUAACUCCGUG